GGCGGCGUGCUUAACACAUGCAAGUCGAACGGAAAGGCCCUGCUUUUGUGGGGUGCUCGAGUGGCGAACGGGUGAGUAACACGUGAGUAACCUGCCCUUGACUUUGGGAUAACUUCAGGAAACUGGGGCUAAUACCGGAUAGGAGCUCCUGCUGCAUGGUGGGGGUUGGAAAGUUUCGGCGGUUGGGGAUGGACUCGCGGCUUAUCAGCUUGUUGGUGGGGUAGUGGCUUACCAAGGCUUUGACGGGUAGCCGGCCUGAGAGGGUGACCGGCCACAUUGGGACUGAGAUACGGCCCAGACUCCUACGGGAGGCAGCAGUGGGGAAUAUUGCACAAUGGGCGGAAGCCUGAUGCAGCAACGCCGCGUGCGGGAUGACGGCCUUCGGGUUGUAAACCGCUUUCGCCUGUGACGAAGCGUGAGUGACGGUAAUGGGUAAAGAAGCACCGGCUAACUACGUGCCAGCAGCCGCGGUGAUACGUAGGGUGCGAGCGUUGUCCGGAUUUAUUGGGCGUAAAGGGCUCGUAGGUGGUUGAUCGCGUCGGAAGUGUAAUCUUGGGGCUUAACCCUGAGCGUGCUUUCGAUACGGGUUGACUUGAGGAAGGUAGGGGAGAAUGGAAUUCCUGGUGGAGCGGUGGAAUGCGCAGAUAUCAGGAGGAACACCAGUGGCGAAGGCGGUUCUCUGGGCCUUUCCUGACGCUGAGGAGCGAAAGCGUGGGGAGCGAACAGGCUUAGAUACCCUGGUAGUCCACGCUGUAAACGGUGGGCACUAGGUGUGGGGUCCAUUCCACGGGUUCCGUGCCGUAGCUAACGCUUUAAGUACCCCGCCUGGGGAGUACGGCCGCAAGGCUAAAACUCAAAGGAAUUGACGGGGCCCCGCACAAGCGGCGGAGCAUGCGGAUUAAUUCGAUGCAACGCGUAGAACCUUACCUGGGUUUGACAUGGAUCGGGAGUGCUCAGAGAUGGGUGUGCCUCUUUUGGGGUCGGUUCACAGGUGGUGCAUGGCUGUCGUCAGCUCGUGUCGUGAGAUGUUGGGUUAAGUCCCGCAACGAGCGCAACCCUUGUUCACUGUUGCCAGCACGUUAUGGUGGGGACUCAGUGGAGACCGCCGGGGUCAACUCGGAGGAAGGUGGGGAUGACGUCAAGUCAUCAUGCCCCUUAUGUCCAGGGCUUCACGCAUGCUACAAUGGCUGGUACAGAGAGUGGCGAGCCUGUGAGGGUGAGCGAAUCUCGGAAAGCCGGUCUCAGUUCGGAUUGGGGUCUGCAACUCGACCUCAUGAAGUCGGAGUCGCUAGUAAUCGCAGAUCAGCAACGCUGCGGUGAAUACGUUCCCGGGGCUUGUACACACCGCCCGUCAAGUCAUGAAAGUUGGUAACACCCGAAGCCGGUGGCCUAACCGUUGUGGGGGAGCCGUCGAAGGUGGGACUGGUGAUU
rnacentral:rRNA from 1 species